AACGAACGCUGGCGGCAGGCCUAACACAUGCAAGUCGAACGCCCUAGCAAUAGGGAGUGGCAGACGGGUGAGUAACACGUGGGAACCUUCCCUAUAGUACGGAAUAUACCAGGGAAACUUGGAGCAAUACCGUAUACGCCCGAAAGGGGAAGAUUUAUCGCUAUAGGAUGGGCCCGCGUAGGAUUAGCUAGUUGGUGAGGUAACGGCUCACCAAGGCGACGAUCCUUAGCUGGUUUGAGAGAACGACCAGCCACACUGGACUGAGACACGGCCCAGACUCCUACGGGAGGCAGCAGUGGGGAAUAUUGGACAAUGGGCGCAAGCCUGAUCCAGCCAUGCCGCGUGAGUGAUGAAGGCC
rnacentral:rRNA from 1 species